CAGAGGGUGCAAGCGUUGUUCGGAAUUACUGGGCGUAAAGCGCGCGCAGGCGGAUCCUGUAAGUCGGAAGUGAAAUUUCGGAGCUCAACUCCGAAGCUGCUUUCUGAUACUGCGGAUCUGGAGAUCGGUAGAGGUCGGUAGAAUUACAGGUGUAGCGGUGGAAUGCGUAGAUAUCUGUAAGAAUACCCGUGGCGAAGGCGGCCGACUGGGCCGGAUCUGACGCUGAGGCGCGAAAGCGUGGGGAGCAAACAGGAUUAGAUACCCUGGUAGUCCACGCCGUAAACGAUGGGCACUAGGUGCCGGGGGGAGCGACCCCUUCGGUGCCGCAGCUAACGCGAUAAGUGCCCCGCCUGGGGAGUACGGCCGCAAGGCUG
rnacentral:rRNA from 1 species